UACAGAGGUGGCAAGCGUUGUUCGGAAUUACUGGGCGUAAAGGGCGCGUAGGCGGCCUUGUAAGUCAGACGUGAAAUCCCCCGGCUUAACCUGGGAACUGCGUCUGAUACUGGGAGGCUUGAGUAUGGGAGAGGGAUGUAGAAUUCCAGGUGUAGCGGUGAAAUGCGUAGAUAUCUGGAGGAAUACCGGUGGCGAAGGCGGCAUCCUGGACCAUUACUGACGCUGAGGCGCGAAAGCUAGGGGAGCAAACGGG
rnacentral:rRNA from 1 species